rnacentral:rRNA from 1 species
GAUGAACGCUGGCGGCGUGCCUAAUACAUGCAAGUCGAGCGAACAGAUGAGGAGCUUGCUCCUCUGACGUUAGCGGCGGACGGGUGAGUAACACGUGGAUAACCUACCUAUAAGACUGGGAUAACUUCGGGAAACCGGAGCUAAUACCGGAUAAUAUAUUGAACCGCAUGGUUCAAUAGUGAAAGACGGUUUUGCUGUCACUUAUAGAUGGAUCCGCGCCGCAUUAGCUAGUUGGUAAGGUAACGGCUUACCAAGGCAACGAUGCGUAGCCGACCUGAGAGGGUGAUCGGCCACACUGGAACUGAGACACGGUCCAGACCCUACGGGAGGCAGCAGUAGGGAAUCUUCCGCAAUGGGCGAAAGCCUGACGGAGCAACGCCGUGUGAGUGAUGAAGGUCUUCGGAUCGUAAAACUCUGUUAUUAGGGAAGAACAAAUGUGUAAGUAACUAUGCACGUCUUGACGGUACCUAAUCAGAAAGCCACGGCUAACUACGUG